CUUAUUGUGAGGUCCUACAUCGGUGGAGAGGGGAACGAAGCAUUCUUUAUAAGGGUGUGGAAACCUCUCCCUAGCAGAUGUGUUUUAAA